AAUGGGGGAAACCCUGAUGCAGCAACGCCGCGUGAGCGAUGAAGGCCUUCGGAUUGUAAACUGUUGUCGCAAGGGAAGAAGACAGUGACGGUACCUUGUGAGAAAGUCACGGCUAACUACGUGCCAGCAGCCGCGGUAAUACGUAGGUGACAAGCGUUGUCCGGAUUUACUGGGUGUAAAGGGCGCGUAGGCGGACUGUCAAGUCAGUCGUGAAAUACCGGGGCUUAACCCCGGGGCUGCGAUUGAAACUGACAGCCUUGAGUAUCGGAGAGGAAAGCGGAAUUCCUAGUGUAGCGGUGAAAUGCGUAGAUAUUAGGAGGAACACCAGUGGCGAAGGCGGCUUUCUGGACGACAACUGACGCUGAGGCGCGAAAGUGUGGGGAGCAAA
rnacentral:rRNA from 1 species